rnacentral:rRNA from 1 species
CCUCUUGCCAUCGGAUGUGCCCAGAUGGGAUUAGCUAGUAGGUGGGGUAACGGCUCACCUAGGCGACGAUCCCUAGCUGGUCUGAGAGGAUGACCAGCCACACUGGAACUGAGACACGGUCCAGACUCCUACGGGAGGCAGCAGUGGGGAAUAUUGCACAAUGGGCGCAAGCCUGAUGCAGCCAUGCCGCGUGUAUGAAGAAGGCCUUCGGGUUGUAAAGUACUUUCAGCGAGGAGGAAGGUGUUGUGGUUAAUAACYGCAGCAAUUGACGUUACUCGCAGAAGAAGCACCGGCUAACUCCGUGCCAGCAGCCGCGGUAAUACGGAGGGUGCAAGCGUUAAUCGGAUUACUCAA